AUUCCAUCAAGAUAAUUUUCGUGAAAUAUCUCCUUGUUAAUUCUGCUCCUAGAGUGUUUUCAAAACUCCUCUUUCAUCUUUAAUACAUUUGCAAUUUAUUUGGGUUGAAGGAGAGAAGUCAUGCUGCCUAUUCAUUUCCUUUCUUCCCAAAUGAACAAUUUGAAUCUAUUGGUUCCCGAUGGCUCCUGUAACAAAUUAUCUCAGAUGCAGUGGCUUAAAGCAACGCAAAUGUGUUCUCUUCCAGUUCUGGAAGCCAGAAUUCUAAACGGGGUGGUCAGGCCUGCGUUCCUUCCGGAGGCUCCAGACGAGAACGCAUUUCCUUGCAUUUCUGGCUGCUGCUAUCUGCCCACACGCCUUGGCUCACAGCCUCGCCUCAUUCUCACCUCGGCCUCGGGGUCACACCUCCUGCUCUGGUUCCGAUUCACCGCCUUCUACACUCCCUCCUAAGAACCCCUGUCAUCACAGUGGAGUUCCCUGGGGGCGUGGCGGUUAAAGAUCGGAAGUUAUCAGUGGCUGCGGCUUGGGUUCCAGUCCUGGCCUGGGAACUUCCACGUGCGCCCCCAAAAAGAAAACCCUUGGCACUACGGUGGAUCCUCCUAAUUAACACGAUAAUCUCCCCGUUGCAAGGUUCUUAAUUCAAUCACAGCUGCAAAGUCCCUUUUACCGUCCAAGGUGGCCUAUUGAUCAGUUCCAGGGAUUAGAAGAGGGGUGUCUUUGGGGUGGGACAGGGAGGGUUAUUCAGCCUGCCCCAGGGAUGAAAUCUUUGCUCUCUGCCUGUCUUUUUUGAGGGCCACACCCGAAGCAUAGGGAAGUUCCCAGGCUAGGGGUCGAGUCUGAGCUGCAGCUGCCGGCCUACACCACAGCCGCAGCAACGCCAGAUCCUUAACCCACUGAGCGAGGGCCGGGAUCGAGUCCGAGUCCUCAUGGAUACUCGUGGGGCUCCUUACCACCCAGCCACAAGAGGAGCUCCCUGCCUGACGGUCUGUGAGCCGGAACAGUGGUCUUCUCCUGCCUUUGGUCUCAAACUCAGACUAGAGAAUGUGUGGAACCAUGACCAAUACACUACACCUGUUUUUCUAGGUGUUGUGGCAGCACAGUGGGUUUACAAGGUUGCGGUCUUUUCUGCUGCACAGCAGAUUCAGUGAGACAUGGACAGCCACCCGUUCUCUUGCGGGUUCUUUCCCCACACAGGCGAUCGCAGAAUACUGGGUAGAGGACCCUGUGCUGCACAGCAGGUCCCCGUCAGCCAAUCACUCCCCAUACCCCAGUGUGCACAUGCCAAUCCCAAUGCCCAGUCCAUCCCCCACCCCCCACCGGUCCCCUUUGGUAACCAGAACUCUGUUUCCAAAGUCCCGUCAGUUCUGCCAAUAAGGGCACUCAUACCCUUUCUCUUAGGUUCCACCUGUAAGUGAUGCCAUGUGAUGUCCGUCCUUCUCUGUCUCGCUUCGCUUGGCAUGAUCAUCUCCCUUUACGGAAAGAGGGUUUGGACUGUUCCUCAUUCAGCCCCUCUGUUUCCCUCUCUUUGCAGCGGCAGACAGACUCUCAGGAAGACAUCCUGUAUGUGGCCCAUUCUCCGCAGUCAGGACAUCUUGAGCCGUGCGUUGCUCUCUGCUGUACCUUCCAGCCCUGGGGCCUCUGACAUUUACUUUCCUAGUGUGUCCAACGCUCCAAUUUCUUUGAGGAGGUAAAGUCGGUGUCCAGUCUAGAGGAAGGACGACAGGUGUCCUGUCCUUUUCUGUACAGACUCAGAAUAAUAAAAA
rnacentral:lncRNA from 1 species